GCGACAGCGACACAAGAUGGCAGCCACCACGGGCUCGGGAGUAAAAAUCCCUCGCGAUUUCCGACUGUUGGAAGAACUCGAAGAAGGCCAGAAAGGAGUAGGAGAUGGCACAGUUAGCUGGGGUCUAGAAGAUGACGAAGACAUGACACUUACAGAUGGACAGGGAUGAUAAUUGGGCCUCCAAGAACAAUUUAUGAAAACCGAAUAUACAGCCUUAAAAUAGAAUGUGGACCUAAAUACCCAGAAGCACCCCCCUUUGUAAGAUUUGUAACAAAAAUUAAUAUGAAUGGAGUUAAUAGUUCUAAUGGAGUGGUGGAUCCAAGAGCCAUAUCAGUGCUAGCAAAAUGGCAGAAUUCAUAUAGCAUCAAAGUUGUCCUGCAAGAGCUUCGGCGCCUGAUGUUGUCUAUAGAAAAUAUGAAACUCCCUCAGCCACCUGAAGGACAGUGUUACAGCAAUUAA